AGAGUGUGAUGAGUACAUAGUCUCAUCAUAUCCUUAUAUAGUUCCCAAGCUUCAAAAAGUGAUUCUCCUUCUGUCUGUCUAGACGUAGUUAUGUGAUUUCUUAGUUAU